rnacentral:rRNA from 1 species
CCUACGGGAGGCAGCAGUGGGGAAUUUUGGACAAUGGGCGCAAGCCUGAUCCAGCCAUGCCGCGUGCAGGAUGAAGGCCUUCGGGUUGUAAACUGCUUUUGUACGGAACGAAACGGCUCUUUCUAAUAAAGAGGGCUAAUGACGGUACCGUAAGAAUAAGC